CCUACGGGGGGCAGCAGUGGGGAAUAUUGCACAAUGGGGGAAACCCUGAUGCAGCAACGCCGCGUGAGUGAAGAAGUAUUUCGGUAUGUAAAGCUCUAUCAGCAGGGAAGAAAAUGACGGUUACUGACUUAGAAACCCCGGCUAAAUACGUGCCAGCAGCCGCGGUAAUACGUAGGGGGCAAGCGUUAUCCGGAUUUACUGGGUGUAAAGGGAGCGUAGACGGCAGUACAAGGCUGAAGUGAAAGCCCGUGGCUCAACCGCGGACCUGCUUUUGGAACUGUAGAGCUUGAGGACUGGAGAGGCAAGUGGAAUUCCUAGUGUAGCGGUGAAAUGCGUAGAUAUUAGGAGGAACACCAGUGGCGAAGGCGGCAUGCUGGAGAGAAACUGACGUUGAGGCUCGAAAGCGUGGGGAGCGAACAGGAUUAGAUACCCGGGUAGUC
rnacentral:rRNA from 1 species